CUAAAUGGUGGCCGUGCGCAGGGCGCCUUCGGGUGCGCCGGGUUCCUAGUACACCGGUCUACCAACCUGCGUAUGGCCGCCACCCUA
rnacentral:antisense_RNA from 1 species